rnacentral:rRNA from 1 species
AGAGUUUGAUCCUGGCUCAGGAUGAACGCUGGCGGCGUGCUUAACACAUGCAAGUCGAACGAAGCACUUGAUUCUGAUUCCUUUGGGAUGAAGAAUCCUGUGACUGAGUGGCGGACGGGUGAGUAACGCGUGGGUAACCUGCCUCAUACAGGGGGAUGACAGCUGGAAACGGCUGCUAAUACCGCAUAACCCGAUAGGGCCGCAUGGCCUGGACGGAAAAGAUUUAUCGGUAUGAGAUGGACCCGCGUCUGAUUAGCUAGUUGGAGGGGUAACGGCCCACCAAGGCGACGAUCAGUAGCCGACUUGAGAGAGUGAUCGGCCACAUUGGGACUGAGACACGGCCCAAACUCCUACGGGAGGCAGCAGUGGGGAAUAUUGCACAAUGGGGGAAACCCUGAUGCAGCGACGCCGCGUGAGUGAAGAAGUAUUUCGGUAUGUAAAGCUCUAUCAGCAGGGAAGAUAAUGACGGUACCUGACUAAGAAGCCCCGGCUAACUACGUGCCAGCAGCCGCGGUAAUACGUAGGGGGCAAGCGUUAUCCGGAUUUACUGGGUGUAAAGGGAGCGUAGGUGGCGUGGCAAGUCAGAAGUGAAAGCCCGGGGCUCAACCCCGGGACUGCUUUUGAAACUGUCAUGCUGGAGUGCAGGAGAGGUAAGUGGAAUUCCUAGUGUAGCGGUGAAAUGCGUAGAUAUUAGGAGGAACACCAGUGGCGAAGGCGGCUUACUGGACUGUAACUGACACUGAGGCUCGAAAGCGUGGGGAGCAAACAGGAUUAGAUACCCUGUAGUCCACGCCGUAAACGAUGAAUACUAGUGUCGGGGCCCAUAGGGCUUCGGUGCCGCAGCUAACGCAAUAAGUAUUCCACCUGGGGAGUACGUUCGCAAGAAUGAAACUCAAAGGAAUUGACGG